UAGACCGCCUGGGGAGUACGGCCGCAAGGUUAAAACUCAAAUGAAUUGACGGGGGCCCGCACAAGCGGUGGAGCAUGUGGUUUAAUUCGAUGCAACGCGAAGAACCUUACCUGGUCUUGACAUCCACAGAAUUCUGCAGAGAUGGAUAGUGCCUUCGGGAACUGUGAGACAGGUGCUGCAUGGCUGUCGUCAGCUCGUGUUGUGAAAUGUUGGGUUAAGUCCCGCAACGAGCGCAACCCUUAUCCUUUGUUGCCAGCGAUUAGGUCGGGAACUCAAAGGAGACUGCCAGUGAUAAACUGGAGGAAGGUGGGGAUGACGUCAAGUCAUCAUGGCCCUUACGACCAGGGCUACACACGUGCUACAAUGGCGCAUACAAAGAGAAGCGACCUCGCGAGAGCAAGCGGACCUCAUAAAGUGCGUCGUAGUCCGGAUUGGAGUCUGCAACUCGACUCCAUGAAGUCGGAAUCGCUAGUAAUCGUGGAUCAGAAUGCCACGGUGAAUACGUUCCCGGGCCUUGUACACACCGCCCGUCACACCAUGGGAGUGGGUUGCAAAAGAAGUAGGUAGCUUAACCUUCGGGAGGGCGCUUACCACUUUGUGAUUCAUGACUGGGGUGAAGUCGUAACAAGGUAACCGUAGGGGAACCUGCGGUUGGAUCACCUCCUUACCUUAAAGAA
rnacentral:rRNA from 1 species